UCUCUCUCAGGAAAGGGCCUAACAUUUUG
rnacentral:piRNA from 1 species